rnacentral:rRNA from 1 species
AGAGUUUGAUCCUGGCUCAGAUUGAACGCUGGCGGCAUGCCUUACACAUGCAAGUCGAACGGCAGCACGGGGCAACCUGGUGGCGAGUGGCGAACGGGUGAGUAAUAUAUCGGAAUGUACCCUAGAGUGGGGGAUAACGUAGCGAAAGUUACGCUAAUACCGCAUACGAUCUAAGGAUGAAAGUGGGGGACCGCAAGGCCUCAUGCUCAUGGAGCAGCCGAUAUCUGAUUAGCUAGUUGGUAGGGUAAAAGCCUACCAAGGCGACGAUCAGUAGCUGGUUUGAGAGAACGACCAGCCACACUGGAACUGAGACACGGUCCAGACUCCUACGGGAGGCAGCAGUGGGGAAUUUUGGACAAUGGGCGCAAGCCUGAUCCAGCAAUGCCGCGUGAGUGAAGAAGGCCUUCGGGUUGUAAAGCUCUUUCGGUGAAGACGGAACGGUUCGUGCGAAUAACGCGAACUAAUGACGGUACUCACAGAAGAAGCACCGGCUAACUACGUGCCAGCAGCCGCGGUAAUACGUAGGGUGCAGGCGUUAAUCGGAAUUACUGGGCGUAAAGCGUGCGCAGGCGGUUUGCUAAGACAGGUGUGAAAUCCCCGGGCUUAACCUGGGAAUUGCGCUUGUAACUGGCAAGCUAGAGUGUGGCAGAGGGGGGUGGAAUUCCACGUGUAGCAGUGAAAUGCGUAGAUAUGUGGAGGAACACCGAUGGCGAAGGCAGCCCCCUGGGUUAACACUGACGCUCAUGCACGAAAGCGUGGGGAGCAAACAGGAUUAGAUACCCUGGUAGUCC